AGCCAACAGCAACAGUAAGAAGAUAAUGAUGUUAUCGAUAUUCGAAUUAGUAAGCCUUUGUCUUACAUUAUACAUUCUAAAAAAACAAUAUUAUUAUUAUUAUUAUUC
rnacentral:ribozyme from 12 species